AGUGAACGCUGGCGGUAGGCCUAACACAUGCAAGUCGAACGGCAGCACAGUAAGAGCUUGCUCUUACGGGUGGCGAGUGGCGGACGGGUGAGGAAUACAUCGGAAUCUACUUUUUCGUGGGGGAUAACGUCGGGAAACUUACGCUAAUACCGCAUACGACCUACGGGUGAAAGCAGGGGAUCUUCGGACCUUGCGCGAUUGAAUGAGCCGAUGUCGGAUUAGCUAGUUGGCGGGGUAAAGGCCCACCAAGGCGACGAUCCGUAGCUGGUCUGAGAGGAUGAUCGGCCACACGGGAACUGAGACACGGUCCAGACUCCUACGGGAGGCAGCAGUGGGGAAUAGUGGACAAUGGGCGCAAGCCUGAUCCAGCCAUACCGCGUGGGUGAAGAAGGCCUUCGGGUUGUAAAGCCCUUUUGUUGGGAAAGAAAAGCAGCAGGUUAAUACCCCGCUGUUCUGACGGUACCCAAAGAAUAAGCACCGGCUAACUUCGUG
rnacentral:rRNA from 1 species